GACGAACGCUGGCGGCGUGCUUAACACAUGCAAGUCGAACGGAAAGGCCCUUCGGGGUACUCGAGUGGCGAACGGGUGAGUAACACGUGGGUGAUCUGCCCUGCACUUUGGGAUAAGCCUGGGAAACUGGGUCUAAUACCGAAUAGGACCACGCGCUUCAUGGUGUGUGGUGGAAAGCUUUUGCGGUGUGGGAUGGGCCCGCGGCCUAUCAGCUUGUUGGUGGGGUAAUGGCCUACCAAGGCGACGACGGGUAGCCGGCCUGAGAGGGUGACCGGGCACACUGGGACUGAGAUACGGCCCAGACUCCUACGGGAGGCAGCAGUGGGGAAUAUUGCACAAUGGGCGCAAGCCUGAUGCAGCGACGCCGCGUGAGGGAUGACGGCCUUCGGGUUGUAAACCUCUUUCACCAGGGACGAAGCGUGAGUGACGGUACCUGGAGAAGAAGCACCGGCCAACUACGUG
rnacentral:rRNA from 1 species